rnacentral:rRNA from 1 species
UACGUAGGGACCAAGCGUUGUCCGGAAUCAUUGGGCGUAAAGCGCGCGUAGGUGGCCAUUUAAGUCCGCUGUGAAAGUCAGAGGCUCAACCUUUGAAAGCCGGUGGAUACUGGAUGGCUAGAGUACGGAAGAGGCGAGUGGAAUUCCUGGUGUAGCGGUGAAAUGCGCAGAUAUCAGGAGGAACACCAAUGGCGAAGGCAGCUCGCUGGGACGGUACUGACGCUGAGACGCGAAAGCGUGGGGAGCAAACAGG